ACAACAGGUGGAGCCUGCGGUUUAAUCGGACUCAACGCCCGGAAAUCUCACCGGAUAAGACAGCUGGAUGAUAGCCGGGCUGAAGACUCUGCUUGACUAGCUGAGAGGAGGUGCAUGGCCGUCGUCAGUUCGUACUGUGAAGCAUCCUGUUAAGUCAGGCAACGAGCGAGACCCACGCCAACAGUUGCCAGCAUGUCCUCCGGGAUGAUGGGGACACUGUUGGGACCGCCUCUGCUAAAGAGGAGGAAGGAAUGGGCAACGGUAGGUCAGCAUGCCCCGAAUUAUCCGGGCUACACGCGGGCUACAAUGGUCAGGACAAUGGGUAUCAACACCGAAAGGUGAAGGCAUUCUCCUAAACCUGUCCUUAGUUCGGAUUGUGGGCUGCAACUCGCCCACAUGAAGCUGGAAUCUGUAGUAAUCGCGUCUCAACAUGGCGCGGUGAAUAUGUCCCUGCUCCUU
rnacentral:rRNA from 1 species